UUAUUGAGUCUAGAUUUGAAUUGACUUCAAAGAAAUUUAGCCCAUUUUUGGAUGUUCUUGGGCCCAAAUUUGGGCAGUCCACCCCUCACCCUUCAUUAACCCAAAACUCUUAAAAAAUUCCUAACCUAGACACCCUAAGAUCAGGAACAAAAUACACUUAUAGAGCGACAAAAAAUCUGAGACUCCCUUCAUCCUCGAGCGUCGUUGCUUCUCCCAGACUCACCUUCCAAAAUCAGCCAUUAAAACCAUCUUCUUCCUCCUAAAACAACCUCGAAAUUACCCCUGAAAAACCGUAAGAAUCGCGCUCAACCCAGCCCAAUAAACACGUCAAAGCUAAGCCAAAAAUCCAUGAAAACGAGCUCCCAAAAACGCCACCACAGGCUCAAUUCGAGUCGACGAGCUGUCCGUUUGCAACUCCAAGAGGUUCUGUUCGAGUUUUCUCCGGCUCGGUCGUGGUCGUUUGGUUGAGUUUAGUUGUCGAUUCAUCUUAACUAUCGUAGUCUAAAAGAUUUCACAAUGUCAAUCGAGAAUUCCGAGCUCUCCACGGAGCAGAUCCAGGAGUCUCGGGUCAUGUUAGCAAGUGCUGAUUUGCUUUCCAACAGGCUUGUUCGGAGUUGACUAGGUAGCUGCUCGGCGUUCGCAGCCCAGUGCUUCUCCUUCCUAUCUUUAUUUUACUUUGUACUAGCCUUGUAUUAGACUAUGUUGUCUUAUCAUACUCUUAGACGGAUUUUAGAUGCUCAUGACAGAUGACACCCCGAUGUCGAGUUGUAUUUGUUUUCGUACUGUUAUAUUCUACUCUAUAUUUUGAGAUU